GAUGAACGCUGGCGGCGUGCCUAAUACAUGCAAGUCGAGCGAACGGACGAGAAGCUUGCUUCUCUGAUGUUAGCGGCGGACGGGUGAGUAACACGUGGAUAACCUACCUAUAAGACUGGGAUAACUUCGGGAAACCGGAGCUAAUACCGGAUAAUAUUUUGAACCGCAUGGUUCAAAAGUGAAAGACGGUCUUGCUGUCACUUAUAGAUGGAUCCGCGCUGCAUUAGCUAGUUGGUAAGGUAACGGCUUACCAAGGCAACGAUGCAUAGCCGACCUGAGAGGGUGAUCGCACAGACUGGAACUGAGACAGGGUCCAGACUCCUACGGGAGGCCGCAGUAGGGAAUCUUCCGCAAUGGGCGAAAGCCUGACGGAGCAACGCCGCGUGAGUGAUGAAGGUCUUCGGAUCGUAAAGCUCUGUUAUUAGGGAAGAACAUAUGUGUAAGUAACUGUGCACAUCUUGACGGUACCUAAUCAGAAAGCCACGGCUAACUCCGUG
rnacentral:rRNA from 1 species